rnacentral:rRNA from 1 species
UACGUAGGGGGCAAGCGUUGUCCGGAUUUAUUGGGCGUAAAGAGUGUGUAGGCGGUGCUCUAAGUCUGUUGUGAAAUCUCCCGGCUUAACUGGGAGGGUGCGGCGGAGACUGGAGUGCUAGAGUGUGGGAGAGGUAAGCGGAAUUCCUGGUGUAGCGGUGAAAUGCGUAGAUAUCAGGAGGAACACCUGUGGUGUAGACAGCUUACUGGACCACGACUGACGCUGAGACACGAAAGCGUGGGUAGCAAACAGG